GAUGAACGCUGGCGGCGUGCCUAAUACAUGCAAGUCGAACGAACAGACGAGGAGCUUGUGCCUUUCACGUUAGCCGCGGAGGGGUGAAUAACGCGUGUAACACGUCCCUGACAGUCGGGGAAAAUUAGGGAACACCGGAUCUAAUCGCGUAGGAUAUCCUGCAGCGCGGGGGUCAAUAGUGAGAGACGGCGUUGCUGGCUCGUCUCGAGGCAUAUGCGCCGGUUUAGCUAGUUGGUAAGGUAACGGCCUAUCAAGGCAACGAUGCGUAGCCGAACGGAGAGGGGGAUCGGCCACACUGGAACUGAGACACGGUCCAGACUCCUACGGGAGGCAGCAGUAGGCAAUGUGCCGCAGUGGGCGAAAGCCUGACGGAACGACGGCACGUGUGUGAUGACGGUCUUGGGUGCGUAAAACUCUGUUUUUGGGGAAGAACAGAUGUGUACGUAAAUAUGCACGUCUUGACGGUACCUAAUCAGAAAGCCACGGCUAACUACGUG
rnacentral:rRNA from 1 species